AUGGAGCACGGCGAGCAGGAGCAGCACGCCAUGGACCUGCCGCCGGGCUUCCGCUUCCACCCCACCGACGAGGAGCUCAUCACGCACUACCUGGCCAAGAAGGUCGCCGACGCCCGCUUCGCCGCCCUCGCCGUCUCCGUCGCCGACCUCAACAAGUGCGAGCCCUGGGACCUGCCAUCGCUGGCUAGGAUGGGGGAGAAGGAGUGGUACUUCUUCUGCCUCAAGGACCGCAAGUACCCGACGGGGCUCAGGACCAACAGGGCCACCGAGUCCGGCUACUGGAAGGCCACCGGCAAGGACAAGGACAUCUUCAGGGGCAAGGCCCUCGUCGGCAUGAAGAAGACGCUCGUCUUCUACACCGGGAGGGCGCCCAAGGGCGACAAGUCCGGCUGGGUCAUGCACGAGUACCGCAUCAACGCCAAGCUCCACGCCGCCAGCACCAGCCGCGGCUCCCUCUCCGGCGGCAGGGCCGCAUCGUCCAGGAACGAGUGGGUGCUGUGCAGGGUGUUCAAGAAGAGCCUGCUAGGCGGCGUAGUGUCGUCGGCGCCGGCGUCGUCAGCAGCAAAGAAAAGCGGCGUGGGGACGAUGGAGGAGAUAGGGUCCUCCGUGGCCGCCGUCACCCCGCUCCCUCCGCUCCUGGACAUGUCCGGCUCCGGCGCCUCCUUCGUCGACCCGGCGGCGCACGUGACCUGCUUCUCCAACAACGCGCUGGAGGCGGGCCAGUUCUUCAACCCAACGGCGACGGGCGGCUGCGCCACGGACACGGACCACCACGGCCUAGCCUCAUCGUACUCCCCGUUGGCAAGCUUCACGCAGUACGGGGGCCAGCUGCACCACGGCGUGAGCCUGAGCCUGGUGCAGCUCCUGGAGAGCAGCGGGUACCACCGCGGUCUCGCCGACGACAUGGCGCCGUGCGGCAAUCAGCAGCAGCAGCCGGCGGCGUGUAAGGGCGAGCGGGAGAGGCUGAGCGCGUCGCAGGACACCGGGCUCACCUCCGACGUGAACCCCGAGAUCUCUUCCUCCUUCGGCCAAAAGUUCGACCACGAGCCCGCGCCGUGGGGCUACUGA
rnacentral:rRNA from 1 species